AACGAACGCUGGCGGCAUGCCUAACACAUGCAAGUCGAACGAGACCUUCGGGUCUAGUGGCGCACGGGUGCGUAACGCGUGGGAACCUGCCCUUAGGUUCGGGAUAACUCCCCGAAAGGGGUGCCAAUACCGGACAAUGUCUUCGGACCAAUGAUUUAUCGACUUGGGAUGGGCCCGCGUUGGAUUAGCUAGUUGGUAGGGUAAAAGCCUCCAAAGGCGACGAUCCAUACCUGGUAUGAGGGGAUGAUCAGCCACACUGGGACUGGAACCCGGCCCGAACUCCUCCGGAAGGAGGAAGUGGGGAAAGUUGACCACUGGGCGAAGGCUUAGCCCCCCAGUCCCGGGAAAGUCUGAAAGCCCUUAGGAUUAAAAGCCUAUUUACCCGGGAUGAUAAUGACAGUACCGGGAGAAUAAGCUCCGGCUAACUCCGUG
rnacentral:rRNA from 1 species